rnacentral:lncRNA from 1 species
AAGAAAUUCAACUCUUUGUAAAGACCUUCUUCUGAGAUGUGGAAUUGCCCCAGCAGCAUCUUGAUUAGAUCUCUGAGGAGAGCUCCUGAGUUCCUCAAGUUUCUCUCUUAUUUCAAUAAAUCCUAAGUGUAGUUUUCCUCCGAAGUGGUCAGCAAGACGUCGGUCAUUGUCAUGAAGACCAAGAUAAGCCGAACACACUUCACAAACCCGUAGCUUCUGCUGUUGAAAGCUAGAGGCAGGCAUAGAAUUCCUGUACACUUCUUCGGCUUCUCUCUUCUUUACCCGGGCCUUCUCCACUUCAUCCAUUACUUUUUGAGAUUCUUCCACAUUUCCAUCAGCUCCCAGCUGUUCUACUUUGGCCAGUAGUUUCCC